rnacentral:lncRNA from 1 species
AUAGCAACAGCAGCGUAGCUGAACAUCUUACGGAUGGCCCAGGGCUCCAAAGGCUCGUUUCCUAAGUGAGAGAGAGCCUGGCUGAAGCUGUAUUACCAUUCAUUCUCCAGCCUCCGAAGUCUCAAAGCAUCACUUCCACCAUACUCUAACUGUCAAGACAAACACAAAGGCCCAGAAACUGCCAGACUGUCUUCUGAAGUGGCUAUAAUAUUUACACUCCCAUCAGCAGUGUAGAAGGGGUCUCACUAUGUUGUCUGGAGUGCUGUGGUGGAGUGGAGUGGCUAUUCACAGAGCCUGUUCUGCUGGGACACAGAAUCACUUGCUCCAUCUCAUACAUUGAUGAUGAUUAAUUUGUAUGUGUACCUUCCAAAAAAGAUGGUUGUGUUUGAAUGGAGGCCUUCUGGACAGGAAAAUGUUCAAUCCUGCUGAUGCUCUCCAUGGAGAUGGUCAGCAAGUGCAAAGUACAAUUAACAUUUGAGUCUGUCUGAGUCAUGAAGAAAUGGAGAUUACUGAAAAUAAUUCAUUUUGGUAUCUUCUUACAUCCUGAGAGACUAAUCUUUCCAAGUUCAUCUGAGGCUCCUCUUCUCCAUGACAACCUCAUCCAGGGAUUUCUUCCUGUCCUGGUGUUUUAUGACAUAAUCACAUCCUUCCUGAGAUAAUGAGCACACAAUUGCCUGGAUACCUGAAGGAAUGGAGACAGCGGCAGAAAACACUGCAGAGAGGUGGAAACAUCCGUUAAUAUUUUAAAAUCCCAUUACUGCUACCAACAAUAAUAAUGGAUGCAUAGAAAUAGAUCUGGAUUAGCUGAGCUUGAAACAGUCCAUCUCACACACACACAAAAGAAUUUCAGAUACAGUGAACCCACAUGUUGAAGCUUUCUAGUAUAAUAAAAAUUUCAACUGUUCUGUUGAAUCAUCUGCCUGAUUGGAGGCUACAGAAAAGAUGUCAUCUUAGGAGUGCUUGCUCUGAGUGAGGCUCAUCUUCAAAUCUGAAUGACCACAAGGAGAUUUGAUUAUACAUGUGAACACCUCAGAAGGCACAGCCCACCCAGAAGGCAGACAGGUCAGGCUGCUUUUUCUUCAUUGCUUGGAUUCAAUCCUCCGGGCGGCUCAGGCUCAAACAUAACUUAAGCAUGAUUAAACUUUAGAAGAAGCUGCCAGGAAGACUGUGAAAUCUUCAUGCCCAAGGAUCCCUAAAAUUAGGAGCAACAACCACUUGGCUCAGACGGUUUAUGGAGGCAAAGGUUUGGAUGGGAUUAGAGAUUUCUAAAUGUGAGUUCGUGUCCUCUGCCAGACCACCUUACUUCCACCAUUCCUCAGCAAAUCAAGAAAAACAGGAGAAAAGACAUGCCUUUCCAUAAGUUAAAUCUAUUCUGUUUUAAUUCUAUAUUAUAUCUGCUGUACAACUUCUUUUGUUUGUAACACCAUAUUGUUGCUAGUAACUGGAAAUUAAUUUUCACAUGCCUCAGCUUAGAAAAAUAAAAAGCAGCCCUGCAUCAAUCCCAA